UACGUAGGGAGCAAGCGUUGUCCGGAAUCAUUGGGCGUAAAGCGCGCGUAGGUGGCCUCAUAAGUCCGUUGUGAAAGUCAAAGGCUCAACCUUUGAAAGCCGAUGGAUACUGUGAGACUAGAGUACGGAAGAGGCGAGUGGAAUUCCUGGUGUAGCGGUGGAAUGCGCAGAUAUCAGGAGGAACACCGGUGGCGAAGGCGGAUCUCUGGGCCUGUUCUGACGCUGGAGGCGCGAAAGGCUAGGGGAGGCGAACAGG
rnacentral:rRNA from 1 species